AUGGAACUAACUCGGACUGACGCUGUUUUCACCAGACUUUCCAUGGUGUUAUUUAUGUGCAGAAACAAAAGUUCUCGAAAUGACCUGAAACUCCACGGAACUUAUUUUUGGAAAAUAAUAAAAAUACUGGAAGAAGAAUCCACGUCAGGGGGCCCUCCACCUUUCCACGAGGGUGGAGGGCGCGCCUGCCCCCCUGGGCGCGCCCCCUGCCUCGUGGGCCCCUUGAUGCUCCAUCAACCUCAACUCCAACUCCAUAUAUUCGUUUUCAAGGAGAAAAAAUCAGAGAGAAGGAUUUAUCGCAUUUUACGAUACGGAGCCGCCGCCAAGCCCUAA
rnacentral:rRNA from 1 species